UACGGAGGGUGCAAGCGUUGUCCGGAUUCAUUGGGUUUAAAGGGUGCGCAGGCGGGCCAUUAAGUCAGGGGUGAAAGACGGUUGCUCAACAAUCGCAGUGCCUUUGAUACUGGUGGUCUUGGGUGACCUUGAGGUAGGCGGAAUGGGUGGUGUAGCGGUGAAAUGCAUAGAUAUCGAGAGGAACACCUGCGGCGAAGGCGGGUUGCUGGGCUGAUACUGACGCUGAGGCGCGAAAGCCAGGGGAGCGAACGGG
rnacentral:rRNA from 1 species